UACGAAGGGGGCUAGCGUUGCUCGGAAUCACUGGGCGUAAAGCGCACGUAGGCGGAUCGCUAAGUCAGGGGUGAAAUCCUGGAGCUCAACUCCAGAACUGCCUUUGAUACUGGCAAUCUUGAGUCCGGGAGAGGUGAGUGGAACUGCGAGUGUAGAGGUGAAAUUCGUAGAUAUUCGCAAGAACACCAGUGGCGAAGGCGGCUCACUGGCCCGGUACUGACGCUGAGGUGCGAAAGCGUGGGGAGCAAACAGG
rnacentral:rRNA from 1 species